GAUUGAGACAUGGAGAAAACUAAAAAGAGAAAACAGGUGAAGCGAUGUUCAAAACAAUCAGGUGGAAGUGAGGAAGAUGGAGAAGACAAACCAGAGAGACAUGAAGGAGAGGAACAGGAGAGGACCAGAGUGAGAGACGGACGACAGGAAACGGAGAGAACAGAGCGAGCUGUAGAGGAGAGAGAGAGAGAGAGAGAGAGAGAGAGAGAGAGAGAGAGAGAGAGAGAGAGAGAGAGAGAGCGCGCGGAAGAGAGCAUAUUACUCGUGGCAGACUCUGUGAUGGAGUUAAUGGGGUUUAGCCACUUCCUAUAUUUCAUUACUGCCUUUACUGUCCUUCUUGACAAGCGUGAAAGAGGAACGUGAAAUAGCCCUGUUUCAGCAAUUUUUUUUGUUUUCCUGUAUUUUAUUUGUUAUCACAUCUGAGUAUAUUCAGUCAAAUUGCCUUUUCUCAGAUGGUCUGACAGCAACAUGACAACAGCCUCAAUUUCCAUCAGAUUUAUUAUUUCGUUUACGGGAAAUUUAACAAGGAUAGUUAAAAAAGACAGGCUGUUCAAUGCUGCUUACAGCUUCAGUUGAGGAAGAUUCAGGUUUGGUUUGAUCUACCACCAUCGAGUUCAGCAUGCAGUUCAGUGGAAAGAGGAAGGAAGUCACAGACGAGAGCAGCAGCUACUAUGAGUGUAACUGCAGCAGCCAGUGGAUUUGUUGUCCUUCUUCUCACUGUGACAGUGGUACAGUGUGAGAAUGGCUGGGAUGUGAGUUACACUUCUACUGAGAUCUUUGCCUUCAGAGGAUCAACAGUGGACAUUACCUGUACCUACACAUACCCAUCCACAUUUAAUAACCAUGAUACUACAGUUCAGGAAACUUUCUGGUUCAUUAAAGAGAGUAAUGGGAUUCACGUUGAUCUAAGGACUGAUCCGGAGUAUUCAGGUCGUGUGGAGAAUCUCUGUGGAAACAACAAGUGCACUCUGAGAAUCACUAACCUGAGAGAGAGCGACUCAGCUGUGUACAAGUUCAGGUUCACAACAAACCAACCUACUGGGAGUUUAACUGGUUCAGCUGGAGUCACUGUUUCUGUCACAGGUUUGCAUGUGCAGGUGAGCAGAUCAGUGAUGUAUUACUCUACUAACCAGGCAGAGCUCAGGUGUCAGAGCAGUUGUCGUCUUCCUGAUCAUCUGAACUACGUCUGGUACAAGAAUCAACAGAAGAGGAAGGAAGGAGAAUCUUAU